UUAUUUUUAUAUUUUAAAGUUUUCUUUCUCCAAGUUAAGAAUGAAUUCAAAAUGUUUAACUAAUAUUUAACUAAAACUAGUUAUGGUUCAUGAACCACAGAUAAAAAUGCUGUAUGUAAACAAAUUUUUAAUUGUUUCCGCCAGGUCAGUGACUAAAUGUACCUUUCGGCCAAAAGAAGAGGAACAAUGGCGAAACGUCACACAUGAUAUGGCAGAACUUGCAUUUUAUUCCUUCUACACCCGAUUAUUACAUUUUUUAUUUACUUAAACCACUAAAAUGUCAAAUCUUCAACAUAGUGGCAACUUGAGAAAUGCUCCUGCGAAGAGUGUCCUUGAUGUGGUGAUAUAGAUAUUGGCAAAUAGUGGUGUAUCAAGUCGACUGAGUGAUCCAGUAAUAGCUAAAAAUUUCUCAUUAUUGAUUGAUAUUAAUGGUAUUAAAGAUGACAUUAAAGAAUUUUCAAGGUCU